rnacentral:rRNA from 1 species
GAGUUUGAUCUUGGCUCAGGAUGAACGCUAGCUACAGGCUUAACACAUGCAAGUCGAACGGAACUUACCGAAUGAAGUUUUCGGAUGGAUUUUGAUAAGUUUAGUGGCGGACGGGUGAGUAACGCGUGAGUAACCUGCCUUCAAGAGGGGAAUAACGUUCUGAAAAGAACGCUAAUACCGCAUAACAUACGGAUGUCGCAUGGCAACCGUAUCAAAGAUUUUACGCUUGAAGAUGGACUCGCGUCCGAUUAGCCAGUUG